CCUCCUCCUCAAUCCCUCUGUGCUUUCAUUCCAAGAACUGUUUGUCCAAAUUGGAGCAGAGACAGGAUUCAUCUGUGUGUCACUUCUGCAUGAAGAAUAUUCUUCUGGAAGUUGGAGAAUUUCAAUGCCUCUAAAAAGUGUUCACACCCGUUGAACCUUUUUUAUAUUUCAGCACGUUACAACCACAAACUUCCAUGUGUUUUACUGGGAGAUUUGGAGAGUCUUCUGCAGAACCGGAAAGCUAAUCAGAGUUGAUGGGAAGACAGAUGCUACCAAAUACAGGGCAAUUCAGGAGAAAACCCUGUUUGACUUCAAAAGACUUCAGACUGGGGGUGCUGUGGGAGCACAGGGGCAAAGCACAACCCACUUAUUGAGGCUUUGGUCCUCGUGGCGGUGGUCGCAGGUUCGAUUCCCGGCCUGGUGACAUUUGUCGCAUGUCUUCCCCCCCUCUCAUUACCCUCCUUCCUGUCGAACUACUUUCAAAUAAAGGCCACUAGAGCCAACAAAACCUCAAGAAAAAAAGACUUCAGACUGAGGUGAAGGAUCUCCAUCCAUUAGAAGAACAAUCGCAAACAUCCAGGCAGAGAUCAAAUGGAACGACAUAGACCUAAAGUUUAUGAGAUAAGGUGGCCAUACCUGUUCAUGUCUGAGCUGAGGUUGAGAUAUUUUUGAAAGAAGAAUGGAUUGAUCUAAAAAAAGAAUCCCAACACAAUCUAAACUUUAUGACUUGAAACAUCCUCAAUCGAUUUCAACGCUUUCAAAGGGAGAGGGGGAAUCUGAAGGUUUUUACUCUUUUGUUUCUUAAGUGUUUUCAUUUUUACAGUCAAAGAAAUCUUUACUUCUGUCUGAGGAUAUCCCUCAAAAACAUGAAGCACUUUAAACAAGUCACCUAAAUCUAUGAUAAUGCCAUUAUUCACUCCCAUAAAGUAUUUAAGGUAUUUUUGGGAGUGUAAUAUCAUUUUAGCACUG